rnacentral:rRNA from 1 species
AGCUAAUACCGGAUAACAUUUGGAACCGCAUGGUUCUAAAGUGAAAGAUGGUUUUGCUAUCACUUAUAGAUGGACCCGCGCCGUAUUAGCUAGUUGGUAAGGUAACGGCUUACCAAGGCGACGAUACGUAGCCGACCUGAGAGGGUGAUCGGCCACACUGGAACUGAGACACGGUCCAGACUCCUACGGGAGGCAGCAGUAGGGAAUCUUCCGCAAUGGGCGAAAGCCUGACGGAGCAACGCCGCGUGAGUGAUGAAGGGUUUCGGCUCGUAAAACUCUGUUAUUAGGGAAGAACAAACGUGUAAGUAACUGUGCACGUCUUGACGGUACCUAAUCAGAAAGCCACGGCUAACUACGUGCCAGCAGCCGCGGUAAUACGUAGGUGGCAAGCGUUAUCCGGAAUUAUUGGGCGUAAAGCGCGCGUAGGCGGUUUCUUAAGUCUGAUGUGAAAGCCCACGGCUCAACCGUGGAGGGUCAUUGGAAACUGGGAAACUUGAGUGCAGAAGAGGAAAGUGGAAUUCCAUGUGUAGCGGUGAAAUGCGCAGAGAUAUGGAGGAACACCAGUGGCGAAGGCGACUUUCUGGUCUGUAACUGACGCUGAUGUGCGAAAGCGUGGGGAUCAAACAGGAUUAGAUACCCUGGUAGUCCACGCCGUAAACGAUGAGUGCUAAGUGUUAGGGGGUUUCCGCCCCUUAGUGCU